rnacentral:rRNA from 1 species
CAGCAGUCGCCGCGGUAAUACGUAGGGUGCAAGCGUUAAUCGGAAUUACUGGGCGUAAAGCGUGCGCAGGCGGUUCGGAAAGAAAGAUGUGAAAUCCCAGGGCUUAACCUUGGAACUGCAUUUUUAACUCCCGGACUAGAGUAUGUCAGAGGGGGGUGGAAUUCCACGUGUAGCAGUGAAAUGCGUAGAUAUGUGGAGGAACACCGAUGGCGAAGGCAGCCCCCUGGGCCAAUACUGACGCUCAUGCACGAAAGCGUGGGGAGCAAACAGGAUUAGAUACCCCUGUAGUCCCUGUCUCUUAUAC